UGUCUCUCUUAUCUUCUCUCUCGUUCGUAGGGCAGCUUUGACCAUCGUUAGCCACCCCGCAAGGAAGUGGUACAGCGGGGCAGCACACGCCGAUGCGGGCCACUGAACAGCUAGGGCUAAGCGCCGCUAGGUGCUGCGUCGUCACUCGUCCUGUGCCGCCGCGGUAGCCGUAGCCGUAGCCGACGACUUUGGAGUAUGAAGAGGACGUCGUCCAUCGCCCAGCUUCCGAAGUAGUUGACUUUGUUUACCAGACCUCCUUGAGGGUCUCCUGUAGUAUGUAGUAUAUGUAAGAGAGAACGGUUAUGUUCUACGACGAGUACGACGGACACACAGGGCAUCCAAAGCCGCAAGGACCUCUUCGAUAAGGUCGGAGUAUGAGUCACUCGCAUGUGAACCAAACCUGUCUUUUUGACUCCUUACCUUUUGGGUAGAGUAACUGUUUCAACUGUUUUAAGAAUGUUUGGUAAUAGUGUUACCCCACUUCCACUUCUGUGAAUUUGAACUAUAACCGGGAACGUCUCUAUAGUUUCGGAGGAUGGAGCUGUCCACCGAGGCUUAGUAAUUUGGACCCUAGGUUCUUAAAUCGAACGACAACGGAAAUCAGCAGUUAUUUUAGAUGUCGAAGGGCACAAGCCAAAACAGAUUACUCCGUCGACGUUCAAGUUAAGUCAGAGAAUCGGAGAAACCAACACGAAAAGUAGGGUGUAGUUAUGAACCCGCCAACUCUUCUAACUUUUCAAAUUCAGACGCAAUACAGGUGCAAUGACUCCUACCUAAUCCCGUGAACGACAGAUUUAGUAGGCGGGAUCUCACCGAUCUCUAACUUCGUACAUCACCCUAUUAUACGAACUUUUAUGGAACAUGCGACGUCGUCGAGUUCAAGGAGUCACAAGUUUUUACGCUCUACCACUUCCACCAUCUCUAUCUACGAGGCGCAGAAACGAGAAAAGCGAUAACACCCUGUGGCCAGUAGAUACAGGCUUUAAGAAGCGUUGAAUUCUUACAUCUAUAAAGUGGACAGUUGGACAGACCAUAAGAGAGAAUACGAGCGAAAUCGGAAGGCAGGUAGCGCGUUUUACAACUCUCGGAGUGGGACGAGCGGCCAGCAUAACUCUUACGGUUGUGAGGCUACGACGGCAGGUUCGAGGGGGUGGAGUUCUUGAACUUUUAAAGAGAGUAAUUUGGGACCAGUAGAGGCUUGAUACUACAGAAGAGAGACCAAAGAAAAGAACUACGAAGAGGACGGAACCUUAGAAAGCAGGAUGCGCAUCUCGUCCUACGGUACUACGUACUGGGACAACAACCUCUGCUGUGACUUAUGGCCUCCGUUUUAGAGCUCACGGCCUUAUUGUCAGAGUCCUUCCACUACUAGUGCCCGAAGACAAGACGGUUCUCGGAUCAACUCGAGUGUCAAGUGUAGGAGCUCGCUUGUGUAAGUGAGCUCGCGAAGUGCGAGCUGUAUUGGAUACCGAUGCUAUCCUCUUGAACAUUGUAGCGGUUUAAGGGUUGACGCUCUUACUAACCGGUUACGACCAGCAACUCGUUCUCUCGAGAGCUCCUUCGAGUAUCUCGACACCUCUGUCGCCUAUCUAUGUAGUUCCCUUCUCAAGGGAGCAGGCAAGUUAAGCUCCAAGACCCCGGAACAGGAGCUACGGUAUAACCUUUCAUCCAUCUGGUACCGACACACGUGGCGAACUACGUCCCCGGGACCCAUUAGGAGGAAAAGCUCUUUUUCCAUGGUCACCUAGUAACUGCACCAUGCCUCCCUAGAGCCAUCGUUAUCUACGACCAACGACCACAGAUAACUAAAGCAACGACACUUGUUAUUCUCUAAAUAACCGGUCCGAAAACAAGUUGAGGCCUUCACCCUGAAAACUCAAUAGACAAGGAUCUCUAUAAUCUUCAACGCAAUUAUGUUAUAAUUCUCUAAUAAUCACCGACAAACUUAACCUCUACGAUCACGUCACUACAAAACAAAAUCUCAAAACUUACCGUUUACUACAAAGUAGGUUAGUAAGUUACAUUUCGGACCUUAUGGUAAACUACACGACGACGAGACCUUCAUCGGCACCGUCAAAUCGAAAACCAAAACUUAA
rnacentral:rRNA from 1 species